GCCCAGAUGGCGGAAUUGGUAGACGCGCUAGACUCAAAAUCUGGUUCUCGCAAGGGAGUGCAGGUUCGAUUCCUGUUCUGGGCA
rfam:Flavihumibacter sp. CACIAM 22H1 scaffold00270, whole genome shotgun sequence.